AGUGAAAUUGCUGGGUCCUAUUUUAAGUGCACGUUUAAGUUUGUAAGGAAUUGUCAAACUAUUCUCUAAAGUGAAUAUAACAUUUUCUAUUUCCUCCAACAAU
rnacentral:pre_miRNA from 1 species